AGCCUCCUACUGUUUACCACAGGCUGUGGUCUUAUACUGACUAUACAGAAAAAUGAGGCAAAGUAAACUUACUGCUAUGUAUACCGCAUCCCACACCACUGUGACUGGUCUGUAUUGUGAGUGGGGAGACAUGG
ensembl:snoRNA